AUAUAUAGUAUGACAGUAUUAACAUCCAAAUUAAGACCUCAAUACAAUUAUUGUUGCACUAUUUUAUAACUUGAUGAGUUCAACCAUUAACUUGGAACAUCACUCUAUUCCGCAAGAAGCAACGACACUCUUAUUUCCUGAAGGAAUUAUGAAAUAAAAGGGUGAGCACAAAUAGCCCAAUAAAGAAUAUCAUGACUAAGAUAAAUUAAUUAUCAUUAGCCUUCAAC
rnacentral:lncRNA from 1 species